CUUCCCUAUGAGUUGGUAACAUUAAAAAAACAACUGUCGAAGUCAGACGAGUGUUGGUCGAGUCUACUGUCAACUACUGUGUUUGCGAUUGAGUGUUUUAGACAAGAAAUAUGCCCAGAUGCCCAGGAUAUUGAUUGCAGGGUACACCAAAUUUGGUCAACUUUCAUCAUGAGAUGCUAUAGUUCAGCUAUAGAGAGGACACAGAGAGUAAUUACAAAAAAAAAACGAAUUACUAAACUGCCAGUAGAUGUCCGACAGGAGCUUACGGACAGAAAGCGGCAGGCGCAAUUAGAUUUAGCAAUAAGGCCGCCUUUUGUCUCUAGUGUCUCGAUUUAUUUGUUUGGUACGUCAUUUUGUGCAAUCAAGUAUAUUGUAUUGCAAGACUGUAAUUUUAAAUUCUAAUAAAAAAUAUAUAUUUUUAAGGUCCGAAUGUUAAGUGCUUGGUAAAAAAUGUAAAUAAAACAAGCAUUCAAUUAUAAAUUGGUUUUAGUUCAUAUUAAUAAACCUUAAUUUUUCUACUGGUUUUCUU